rnacentral:rRNA from 1 species
UCCGCCUACGGGAGGCAGCAGUGAGGAAUAUUGGUCAAUGGGCGGAAGCCUGAACCAGCCAAGUCGCGUGAGGGAAGAAGGCCCUGCGGGGCGCAGACCUCUUUGGACGGGGAGCAAGGCCGCCGACGUGUCGGCGGAAGGAGAGUACCCGUAGAACAAGCAUCGGCUAACUCCGUGCCAGCAGCCGCGGUAAUACGGAGGAUCCGAGCGUUAUCCGGAUUUAUUGGGUUUAAAGGGUGCGUAGGCGGUGUGGUAAGUUAGAGGUGAAAGUGCGGGGCUCAACCCCGACACUGCCUCUAA